rnacentral:rRNA from 1 species
GACGAACGCUGGCGGCGUGCCUAAUACAUGCAAGUAGAACGCUGAAAGAGGAGCUUGCUUCUCUGGAUGAGUUGCGAACGGGUGAGUAACGCGUAGGUAACCUGCCUGGUAGCGGGGGAUAACUAUUGGAAACGAUAGCUAAUACCGCAUAAGAGUAGAUGUCGCAUGACAUUUGCUUAAAAGGUGCAAUUGCAUCACUACCAGAUGGACCUGCGUUGUAUUAGCUAGUUGGUGGGGUAACGGCUCACCAAGGCGACGAUACAUAGCCGACCUGAGAGGGUGAUCGGCCACACUGGGACUGAGACACGGCCCAGACUCCUACGGGAGGCAGCAGUAGGGAAUCUUCGGCAAUGGACGGAAGUCUGACCGAGCAACGCCGCGUGAGUGAAGAAGGUUUUCGGAUCGUAAAGCUCUGUUGUAAGAGAAGAACGAGUGUGAGAGUGGAAAGUUCACACUGUGACG